UACGAAGGGGGCUAGCGUUGCUCGGAAUCACUGGGCGUAAAGGGUGCGUAGGCGGGUCUUUAAGUCAGGGGUGAAAUCCUGGAGCUCAACUCCAGAACUGCCUUUGAUACUGAAGAUCUUGAGUUCGGGAGAGGUGAGUGGAACUGCGAGUGUAGAGGUGAAAUUCGUAGAUAUUCGCAAGAACACCUAUAGCGAAGGCAGCUUACUAGGCUGUAACUGACGCUGAGGCACGAAAGUGUGGGGAUCAAACAGG
rnacentral:rRNA from 1 species